rnacentral:rRNA from 1 species
UAAAGUAAAUAUUUGGUUCUGGUAUAAUGUUAGCUACAGAGUUUUUUACAUUACACAAUGUAGGAUAAUUUCGUGAUGUGUAAAAGUCUGAUUUACGUGAUAAGCCAAGCUUAAUGCAUCCUAAAAGGAAUAGUCGGCAGCAGGAGCAUAAGUUUUUUAAUGAUGACGCGAAGGAAAUCACAACUCAAGUGGGUAGAUCUGGAAAUCAAUGAGUUCUAGCUUGAAACGAAUAAAAAACUAACUAAAUCGAAGCGAAAGAGGGUGCCAGCAGCUGCGGUCACUCCCUCUCUCGAGGAGCUAAUAAGGGUGCAGCUUAGAGGCAGUUAGUCAAAAAGUGUGACGCAAGACAUACAGCAAGGACUAUGGGUGAAAUCUCAGUCUUGCGGGAGGUCCAAAGCUUGCGUAAAGAUGAAUCUGCGAAGUUAUGGGCAUAGACCCGGAUUUGGUACCCGGUUAUUCCAUAAUGUCAAGUAUAGCUAUUUUAUUUGAAUUAAUAGUUUGCUAGGGGUACUACGAGCAACUGCUUAAAACUCGAAGAACUUGGCGGUUCCGCAUAACCAUCCCGAGCUUCUUGGCGCUUUAAUCUGAUGGUCCGCGAGAUAUCCUUACUUCCCUAUAGAAAAGCAGUGUACUGCCGUCGAAAGCUUUAUGAUGUGAGUAAAUAAAAAUAGGCCCAAUCUUGGGGUUUUAAGCAAUUAAUAAUCAUGCCGAGGGCUAGGUCAGGUCGAAGUGCUCCUUAUGGGCAAGGGGUUAGCUGAGAGACAAAUAUUUAGACAUAUAAAGAUUUUAGGGAUGAAAUUCUCUUAGUGUAUAUAAGGAUUUGGGAGUAAAAAGAGAGUAACUCGUUUUUUUGAAAAGACGCAACUGCGGUGCGUUCAAAUCGCCCGUCACCCUAGCCGAAAGGAGAGGUAAGUCGUAACAUGGUAAGGGUAGGGGAACUUGCUCUUUUAAU